rnacentral:rRNA from 1 species
CCCUUAGAUGUUCUGGGCCGCACGCGUGCUACACUGAGUAAUUCAAUGGGUAAGGGAACGCUAGAGCAUUACCUAAUCUUGAAAUUUGCUCGUGAUGGGGAUCGACGGUUGCAAUUUUCCGUCGUGAACGAGGAAUACCUUGUAGGCGCAUGUCAUCAUCAUGCGCCGAAUACGUCCCUGCCCUUUGUACACACCGCCCGUCGCUCCUACCGAUUGAGUGAUCCGGUGAGGCUCUGGGACCUGGACGGAAAGAGCGUUUCGCUUGUUCUGUUUGGGAAACUUGGUCGAACCUUAUCAUUUAGAGGAAGUAAAAGUCGUAACA